AGCUCAGUGGUACAGCAUUUGCCUAAGAUGCAUGAGGCCCUGGGUUCAAUUCCCAG
rnacentral:tRNA from 1 species